CUACCACCAUCCACCUUAUUUAUACUCGAUACUCAAAGAGCAUAGGGGUAUAUUAGAUUUGUGGUGGAAGUGGAUGUCUGCGACACCCAGAAGGAGGCGGUGCCUUAUCUGGAUCAGUUCAGAUUAUAGCCAGAACUUGCCGCUGCUCACAACGUUUUCGCUCGUUUAAUCGGGAUUUUAGUGGUUUUGUCUGAACAAUAUCUAAUACUAUCAGGAUGACCAGGAGCAGGAGUAGAAAGGCAGCAAUUCAUCCAGCGGCGGCGAGGACGG